CGGAAGUGUACACUACCGCUUUUAACUUCUCUUACCUGCACCAGGUGAGACUGCAUAAAAGUCAACUUGAAACUUCGAGAUGUCUCCGGUCCUGGCGAAUAAAGACCGUUUUUGAUAAAAUGAAUAACCCUUUUCCCACUAACCUAAAGUCUGAGGCCAAGAAGGCCGCCAAGAUCCUCUAGAGUUCACAGAAAUAUCCAAUAGAAUGGGACCUGACAAACUUAUUCCAGAUGGAGUAUUCUGAUGACGACUUUCAUACCUUUUAUGGACCUUGACACUGUUAUUUACUUGGCAGUCUAUGGGACAGUCACAGGCCUCCCAGUUUUC
ensembl:lncRNA